AUGAGGAUCACGGUGUGGAACUGCCGGGGGUUGGGGAACGGCCCGGCAGUGAGAGGGCUUCUGGAUGUGCAGAAGCAGGAGGACCCCGACCUUCUCUUUUUAUCAGAAACCAAACUUGAUAAAGGGGGAAUGGAAAGUCUCAAAUGGAAGUUGGGAAUGAGUAACUUGGUGGCAAGGGACUGUGAAGGAAAAAGUGGCGGGUUAGCAUUAUUGUGGAAGAAGGAAAUAAAGGUAGAGCUCCACAAUUAUUCUAGAUACCAUAUUGAUGUGGAGAUUGAAGGAAAUAUGCCCUAG
rnacentral:rRNA from 1 species